rnacentral:lncRNA from 1 species
GGCCUUCAGGCUGGGGCUGCGGGCCAGGCCAGGCAUUUGCCACUCUGUUUCCCUCUCUUUCCUUGUGCCCCAGGUCUCUGACAUCCUCCGAUACCUAUUUCCCGUGCCCAAAGAUGACAGCCACCGGGUCAUCACCUUCGCAAACCAGGACGACUACAUAUCAUUCCGGCACCAUGUGUAUAAGAAGACAGACCACCGCAACGUGGAGCUCACUGAGGUCGGGCCCCGCUUUGAGCUGAAGCUGUACAUGAUCCGUCUGGGCACGCUGGAGCAGGAGGCCACAGCAGACGUGGAGUGGCGCUGGCACCCUUACACCAAUACCGCACGCAAGAGAGUCUUCCUGAGCACCGAGUGAGCACACUCACCACUCAGUCAGGACAUGGACUUGGAACUCAGGAUGGGGCUGUCAUAGACAGACCCACCAGUAGGAACUGUCACAGAAUGGCCUGCUGAACUGGGAUGUGGAACUGUGGCGGGUGGAGAGGUCUGAAUAAACCGUCUGUGUCAUGGCC